rnacentral:lncRNA from 10 species
GUCUUGCGGCGGUUUUGCGUUGGCGCUUGCAGAUGAUUCCCCCCUCCACCCCGCCCGAUUCGUCCAGCGCUGUCUCCUGAAGAGCCGCUCCCGUAAGCCCCGGGGGAUUUGCCGCGCGCUGCCGCCCCUCUGCCCGGCGUUUUCGCAGCAGCCCCUUCUGGGCCCCUCCAGCGCGUCUCUGGCUGAUCCGGUGUCGUAAUCCUGGGUUCUGGCAUCGGAGCCGUUGCUAUGGGGAUCUCACCCACCGAUUCAGCAUUUUGUCGGAGUUCAGUGUGUGCGGAUCUCAAAGAACCUCCCUCCCAGCACCACUGAGGUGCUGAGGAUGCCCCUGAAACGGCCUCAAACUCGACUUGGACUAUGGGUUCCAUCCGUAGAGUUGGCCUCACUGACAGCAUUACAGGAAGGCUUCGAGGCAGCUCCCUGUGACCAUGUGGCGAUCGGACCAUCCCUGGCAUCCCACUUUGUGGGUGAGGAGACUGCUUCCUAACCAUGGUGUCUUAAAACCGAAGAGCACCACAGAAUGCCAGACACCAGACACUCACCACACGCGGUGGGUGCUAUUUCUGCACCAGGCUCCAGAGAGUGCGUUCCUGGGUGCUGACGCUCCUACAGCUGCCUCCUCUGCAACAGCCUCUCUUCCCUGUACAGAUUCCUCACCACAUCCAGCCAAAUCGCCUUCAUCCCAGCAGAGGCUGCAGAAGGCAGACGGCCAGGAGACUGGGGCCGUCAAUGCACUGGGUACAGCAGUAAUCCUCUAGGGUCUUCAACGCCUUAGGUCCUAGUGGCCUGGGAUGACCUGACCCCAGACACCCUCCCCAGAAGCAAGUCCAUCCCCAGUGCGCAGGAAGGAAUACACCUUUGGGUUGACUAAAACGUCAUGCUGGAAAGGAAGUUUGACAGAGGAAGGUCAUUCUCAUUCCACAGGCACCUCAAAGACAGGGGUUUCUCUCUUGGGUGUCGGGCUGUAGCUUCCAUAAAGUUUUCAGCACGUUUUCUGAAUACCCAGCUGGCAUCGAUGCUUGGAGGUGCAAAGUGGGUUGGAUGACUGAAUCCUGCCCUUGAGAGCUGACACUGUCACCAAAGUUGUUGAGAUGGGCUGGAGUCGCCCACUGAGCACUCAGUGACUGGUACGCCAAAGACCAAGGCCUCAUAGUGGACACCAUGAUGAAAACAACGUACAGUUAGAUGGGAGGAAAACAUUCUGCUCUUCUCUGGCACAGAAGGGUGGCUAUUUUUAAUACUAAUGUAUGGCAUAUUUCAAAAUAGCUGGAAGAGAGGACUUGGAAUGUGCUCACCACAAAGACAUGACAAGUAUUGGAGGUGAUGAAUUUGCUAAUUACCCUGAUUUGAUCCUUACACAAGCUAUACAUGUGUGGACACAUCAGACUCUACCCCAUAAAUAUAUACAACUAUAUGUUCAUUUUAAAAGAUGGAAAUGAUGCAAAUGUCCAUCAGCUGGCGAAUGGGUAAACGGAGUGUGUGUGUCUGUAUAAUGGGAUUGCAUUUGUCCAUGUAAAGGAAGGAAGUGCUGAUACACGCCACAGCAUGUGUUGGUGGACUGCUCGGGUCCCCUGCACACCUUGCGUCCAGGCUUCCUCUUGCAGGACCAGGAUCUUCCCUGCUCCUUCCACAUUCCUGAAGAGUCACCCUGCGUCAGGCAGUGGAUCACAGUGGCAGAGUGAUGAGCUUGAUAGACAAGAAGCAGCCUUCAGGGAGCUUUCACACAGUAGGGGAAAUGGAUGAAUAACCAACACCACCACCUACUUACAGCUUGCAAAGGUGCCAAAAAGAAACUAGAAAGGUGCCCUGGGAGAAGGGGAGCUGGGGUGGGGAUAGUGGGUGAGAAGGAAUUGAAAUCUGAGCUGGGACAUAAGAAAUUGUGCUAUACUGAAUAGUGUCACCUGCCCAUUCAUGUUUUCUCCAGGAACCUCAGAAUAUGAUUUGGCUUUUGUUUUGUUUUGUUUUAAGAAUCAGGGUCUUAGUGUGUUGCCCAGGCUGGUCUUGAAUCCUGGCCUCGAGCAAUCUUCCCAUCUUGACCUCCCAAAGCGCAAGGAUUACAGGCAUGUGCCACCAUGCCCUGCCAGAAUAUGAUCUUAUGUGCAAAUAGGAUCAUUGUAGAUGUAGUUAGUUAAUGUGAGGUCAUACUAGAGUGGGGUGGGCCCUUAACCCAAUAUGAUUUGUGUCCUCACAUGAAGGGGAGAAGAAACACAGCUAUGCACAGAGGGAAGACAGUGAAAGCACAGACACACAGAGGGAGAUGGCCAUGUGACGACAGUAGCAGAGGCUGCAGCAAUGCAGCUACAAGCCAGGGAACCCGGAGGAUUGGUGGUGACCACCUGCAUCUGGAAGAGGCAAGGAGGAUGCUCUCCCACAGCCUUCAGAGGGAGCAGGCCCCUGGCAAGACCUUGACUUCAGAGUUGGGCCUCCACAAUGAUGAGAGAAGCCAUUUCUGUUGUUUGAAGGCACCCAGUUGAUGGCAUUGGUUACAGCGUCCACAGGAGGCUGAUGCAAGAGCGAAGAGUGUUACAGUAGAGGGAGGAGGCAGUGCAGAUGCCUUCACAAGAAAGUUGCUAGGACUACUGGAGCAGCGACCAGGAUGCCCAAAGGAGUGGGAGCCCCACAGGCAGGUGGGGAUGAUCCCAGAAGAGGUUGGUGCCCAGCCAUAGUGUCCUGUAGGCCAUGAUGUUGAUGUUCGUUUUAUUCUAAGAACAUUGGGAAGUCAUUGAAGGAUUUUACAAGAAAGACGAAACAUGAUCUAAAGUUCAUUUUUGAAAGAUCGCAUCAGCUGCUCUGUGAAGAGGAGUUCUGAAAGAGGCAAGAGAGGAGGCAGGACAGCCACUGUGGCUGGCAAGUCCUCAAACGAUUACACAGAGUCCCCGCGUGACCCACAGUUCCACUCCUCUGUGUAGACCCACGAGAAACGAAAACAUAUGUUCAUACAGAAACCUGUACAAAAUGUUUAAAGCAGCAUUAUUUAUAAUAGCCCAAACAUAGAAACUACAUAAAUGUCCACCAAUGAAUCCAUACAAUGAGGUAGUAUUUGACCAUAAAAAGGAAUGAAGUGCCGAUAGGACAACAUGAAUGAACCCUGGAAUCAUCAUGAUAAGUGAAGGAAGCCAUUCACAAAAGACCACGGAUUGUAUGAUUCCAUUUAGACAAAAUGCCCAGAGGAGGCAAAUCUCUAGAGACAGAAAGUAGAUUACUAGUUGAUUAUGGCUGCAGGGGUGAGCGCUGGGGAGGGGAGAUAGCUGAAGGUGACAGAGCUUCUUUUUGAGGUGAUACAAGUGCUGUAAAAUGGACCAUAGUGAUGACUGCAUCUACAUGGAAUAUACUAGCAACCAUUGAAUUGGAUACUUUCUUUUAAAGUGAAAGCAAGCUUAUUAGAGAAGUAAAGAAACAAAAGAAUGGCCACUCUAUAGACAGAGCAGCCUGAAUUAUACACUUUAAGUGGCAGAAUUAUAUAAUACAUGAAUUCCAUUUCAAUAAUGCUGUUUAAAAGAAAAAAAAAGGAGUGAAGGCUCAGAGGAGGCCACUGAGUACUCUGGUGGAAGAAAAUGGUGACUUAGGCCAGGGCCACAGAAAGAGAGACAGCAAGAAGGGAUGAAAACAGUGGAUUGUGGAGGCCGAAUAGACAACGGAUGAAUAGGUCAACACCUGCCGUCCAUCCGUACAAGGGAAUAUUAUUCAGCCAUAAAAAGAAAUGAAAUGAACCUUGCUGCAACAUGAUGUUAAGUGAAAUAAGCCAGACACAAAGGCCACAUAUGGAAUGAUGUCACUUACAUGAGGUUUCUACAAUAGGCAAAUUCAUAGAGACAGAAAGAAUGGAGGUUACCAGGAACUGGGAGGAGAAAAGAAUGGGACAUUAUUAUCUCACAGUUCCAGAAUUUGUUUGGGAUGAUAAAAAAAAAAAAAAAAAAAAAAAAAAAAAAAAAAAAAAAAA